rnacentral:rRNA from 1 species
GGGUUGUGAGGUUAAGCGACUAAGCGUACACGGUGGAUGCCCUGGCAGUCAGAGGCGAUGAAGGACGUGCUAAUCUGCGAUAAGCGUCGGUAAGGUGAUAUGAACCGUUAUAACCGGCGAUUUCCGAAUGGGGAAACCCAGUGUGAUUCGUCACACUAUCAUUAACUGAAUCCAUAGGUUAAUGAGGCGAACCGGGGGAACUGAAACAUCUAAGUACCCCGAGGAAAAGAAAUCAACCGAGAUUCCCCCAGUAGCGGCGAGCGAACGGGGAGGAGCCCAGAGCCUGAAUCAGUGUGUGUGUUAGUGGAAGCGUCUGGAAAGGCGCGCGAUACAGGGUGACAGCCCCGUACACAAAAAUGCACAUGCUGUGAGCUCGAUGAGUAGGGCGGGACACGUGGUAUCCUGUCUGAAUAUGGGGGGACCAUCCUCCAAGGCUAAAUACUCCUGACUGACCGAUAGUGAACCAGUACCGUGAGGGAAAGGCGAAAAGAACCCCGGCGAGGGGAGUGAAAAAGAACCUGAAACCGUGUACG